rnacentral:rRNA from 1 species
GACGAACGCUGGCGGCGUGCUUAACACAUGCAAGUCGAACGGUGAAGCGCCUUCCUUUUUGGUCGGUGUGGAUGAGUGGCGAACGGGUGAGUAACACGUUAGUAACCUUCCCCCUUCUUCUGGAUAACCGCAUGAAAGUGUUGCUAAUGCGGGAUAUUCUGAGUCUGUCGCAUGAUUGGUCUGAGAAAGAUUUUGUUUCGGUUGUGGAUGGGCUCGCGGCGUAUUAGCUUGUUGGUGGGGUGAUGGCCUACCAAGGCGGCGACGGGUAGCCGACCUGAGAGGAGGGUGGGCCGCCACAGUGGGAAUGCGACGCGGAGACGCCUCCGGCGGGAGGCAGCAGGGAGGAAUACGGAACAGUGGGAGGAAGGACGAUGCAGCGCCGCGGGAGGAGUGAAGGAGGCCUGCGGGUUGAGAUCCUCUAUCGGGAGUGAAGAAAGCUUGCCUUAACUGUGGGCGGCUUGACGGUAGCUGGUCAAGAAGCGACGGCUAACUACGUG